UUUGUUCAUCACACCAAACAAGCAACUGAGACGGCAAGGCGUUUGGAUGAAGCUCUCUGCUUGAUAUGGUUAACUGGAUGGUUUAGUGAUCUGCUGUGGAGGGCUUGCACCCGCCGCCUCUUCUUCCUCUCUCUGCUUCCUUGCCCACCCCUCGUGGCACACACGAGCGGCGGCGGCAGCGGAUCUGCGAGAAACAUGGGAAGGCAGGACGUGGGACGGAGCAGAUUGGCGGCGGGAAGCUCCGGAAGGAGCACGAGGCAGAGCAGAUUCGUGCGACAUCACGUCGUGGAAGGAGGCGGGACGACUCGCCUCCUCGCCAUAAUCGCAGCUCCCGUCCGUCCUCUCCACGUCUCCGUCGGUUCCCCCAAUUUUGAGCCACCAAGGCCAUGGACCGGGACCUGUGUGUUCAUUUGAAGACAAGAAAGUGAAAGGGGCGCUUACCUACUUGGCACUGCCGAGCUUCCGCCAGCAAUGGAGGUGAUUGUCUGCUCUCGGUUUCGUGGCGCCAAUGGAGGUGGGUGUGAAGUGAGCACACAAUUGUUCAAUGUUGCUGGAUAGGUUCUUCCUGGUCGUCUUCUUUUGUUGAGGCCUGACGUUACAAUCGCGUUAAGGUAAUUUCCCUCGGAAAUCUUGCUUGCCGGCCUCGUCUUUUUCCUUCAGGUUGGUCGUUUGUUGUCUAAGUGGCAAGGAUUGUGGGAAAUAGGAGCUCAGCUGCUAGGCCAUUCUAUUGGUGUACCAAUUCUGGAUUAUUCAUUAUGUUCUCUUUAUUUCUAAUGAUAAACGUCCUUCCAGUAUGACAAUCUUAAAUUUCGCCAUUCUAUUGGUGAUUUUUUGGUAUUUCAUUGCAGGAGACAUCAAAUGUAGAGUCGUCAUAUCUAACUUUUACUUUGACAUGGCUGGGUGUUCGUCUUCUACAUAUCUGGUUUAUGCUCUAUUGUCUACUUACCAACAAGAAGAUAAGUUGAAUGCUUCACCUUGGCAAAGUGCAGCUGUCAACGUUUUGGUUCUUCUGGAUCUUAAUUUGUUAAAUGGUUCUGUUGUGAUAUACUAUACUUAUUCAGACAGGGGGCACUAAUUUAUCUUCCAGCAGGUUAAUAAAAAAUUAUUUAGAAGGUCUCUUAUCUGAUUUCCAAAUUAGAUCCUUGCAACUAAACUGUUUAAUUUGCUUGCCAUCUCUUUGUUUACCGCAUCAAACCUUGAAGUCAUCUUAUUCUUAUGGCGUUUCUAGGCCAUGUUGUACUUCUGACCUAUUGCAUUACACAUGAUUCGGUGGUUGAUCUUAGUUGACCAUGAAAAACUGUAGAGCAUGCACAGUAUUUUCUAACCAGGAACUUUUCCCAACUUGAGUAUUGAAACUUGAACUAAGAUUUUGUUCAUAAAUUGGAAACAAGCAGGAAUUAACCAAUCUUGUUUGUAAUUACCACUGUAUAAAAUAAUGUAAAAAUCUACAUGCAGUCUAACACAAUUGCCUGUAAGCAAUGGAGCCAAAUAAAUUCAUUUUCCCAGCACCAAGAUGCUCAUGUCAGCUUCUAAGCUUGAUCUAUUUUAUGUAUGUGCACUGCGUGUAACGGGGUUUUGUUGUUGUAUCAUCUGUGCUGCCUGUCUUCUCACUAAACUAAAUCUAUUGUCAGACAGACACGUUAACAAAUACGACAGCAAGAUUAGUGCGCACAAGCCCGCCUCAAGAGGCGCCACCGGGUGGCGCCCCAACCACUAGUUUGUACAAAGGAUGGAAGGUUCUGACCCUAUCGGAUAGCCAGAUGAAGUUCAUGACCAAGUCGUUUGUCUAUGAAACUGGUAACCAAGCAGGAGAACAUGGCGGUCCUGUCGUACUGUAUGAUGGACGAAGCAGUAGAGGAGUCGAGCAUCGUGCUAGCUGGACUAAUCAUUCCAUUGCACGGGGAUGGUAAGCAAAAAGUUGUUUUUUGCUUUCCUGUAAUAUUUAUGUAGGGAUCUAUGCAAAGACCGAUGACCGUAUCGAGUUUGUUGAUGAAGUUUGGCUCAUAGCCUAACUGAGUCGGCAUGCGUAUGAAUCAGUGUCGAGCUGAAAAUGAAAUAGAGGUUCAGAUUGUGUUGCUCUUUUAUUUUGAGAAGAAUAAAAAUGGUAUCCCGGGUGCCUUGACGACAUCUUGUGUAAAUAGUGCCAGGGAACGAUUGUGGAGUUGACAGACAGGCAAACGUGAAUAAAUGGCAUCAUCGAUUAAAUUA